rnacentral:rRNA from 1 species
CCUACGGGAGGCAGCAGUGGGGAAUUUUGGACAAUGGGCGCAAGCCUGAUCCAGCAAUGCCGCGUGAGUGAAGAAGGCCUUCGGGUUGUAAAGCUCUUUUGUCAGGGAAGAAACGGUGGAGGUUAAUACCUUCUGCUAAUGACGGUACCUGAAGAAUAAGCACCGGCUAACUACGUGCCAGCAGCCGCGGUAAUACGUAGGGUGCAAGCGUUAAUCGGAAUUACUGGGCGUAAAGCGUGCGCAGGCGGUUGUGCAAGACAGAUGUGAAAUCCCCGGGCUCAACCUGGGAAUUGCAUUUGUGACUGUACGGCUAGAGUGUGUCAGAGGGGGGUAGAAUUCCACGUGUAGCAGUGAAAUGCGUAGAGAUGUGGAGGAAUACCGAUGGCGAAGGCAGCCCCCUGGGAUAACACUGACGCUCAUGCACGAAAGCGUGGGGAGCAAACAGGAUUAGAUACCCUGGUAGUCCACGCCCUAAACGAUGUCUACUAGUUGUCGGGUCUUUAAUUGNUGUACGCNGCUACGCGNGAGUAGACGCCGUCGGGUAGGUACGGUCGCGAGAGUAAACGUAACAAGUAGUAAGUUAGUACGGCGUGAGACGUAGACCGACGGACGACGACGAGGGGAGGUUAGGG